rnacentral:tRNA from 1 species
AUCCCUGUAGCAUAGUGGAUAAUGCGUCUGUCUCCUAAACAGAAGGUCGUGGGUUCGAAUCCCAUUUGGGAUA